UACGUAGGGGGCUAGCGUUAUCCGGAAUUACUGGGCGUAAAGCGCACGUAGGCGGCUUUGUAAGUUAGAGGUGAAAGCCCGGGGCUCAACUCCGGAAUUGCCUUUAAGACUGCAUCGCUAGAAUUGUGGAGAGGUAAGUGGAAUUCCGAGUGUAGAGGUGAAAUUCGUAGAUAUUCGGAAGAACACCAGUGGCGAAGGCGACUUACUGGACACAUAUUGACGCUGAGGUGCGAAAGCGUGGGGAGCAAACAGG
rnacentral:rRNA from 1 species